rnacentral:ncRNA from 1 species
CGGACUGGUCGAAUAGAUCUUGGUCCACCCUGCGGCGGGGAUAUUCCCC